UUAAUAACGUAUAUUUUACAAAUCUAACUCAGCAAAUAUCAGGGAAAGUUAGAGAUAUUUUAGACAAUAAUUUAGUUGAAGUAAAUGACACAGAUGGUUUAUUUAAAAUACAUCAAAUAAAGGAGAUAACGAAUCGGAACAAUCAAACCGAAAGACAGAUAAAAUAUUUUGAAAGAUUUUAUUACUGAUCUGUGGAUGUAAAGAAAACUGCAGUUUUGCAUACAUGGAUAUACUGCAUAUGAAAAAUUUUUUCAUAUUGUAUAUACAUUAUUUCUUUUACUGCUUUAAUUAUAGUUUAUUUAGAUGUAUUAUUAUUCGAUGCCUUUGUAUAUUUACAAAAUUUUAUGACUGCAUGCAGCAAUAAUAAAAAUUUUA